AAAUAAAAUAAAUAUGAACUUCUAAUUCAUUAAUUAUGAUUACAAAAUAUCAUUUAUUUC
rnacentral:tRNA from 1 species